CAAUGUCGUUGGACUGUGAAUCGAUCAGGAGAUGGACUACAUUGUGCGUUCAAGUAUGACGGUGAUAGCCAUCGAUUUGAUAUCGUGCCAUAUGCACAGUGCACUUAUGUGGACUUUGGGCUGUUUGCAUCCCCGUCGAGAG
rnacentral:ribozyme from 1 species